GACGUAGGGUCCAAGCGUUGUCCGGAUUUACUGGGCGUAAAGAGCACGUAGGCGGCUUGUUAAGUGUGAAGUGAAAUCUCCAGAGCUCAACUCGGAAACCGCUUCGCAUACUGGCAAGCUAGAGGAAUGCAGAGGUAAGUGGAAUUCCUGGUGUAGCGGUGAAAUGCAUAGAUAUCAGGAGGAACACCCAUGGCGAAGGCAGCUUACUGGGCAUUAUCUGACGCUGAGGUGCGAAAGCGUGGGGAGCAAACAGGAUUAGAAACCCUCGUAGUCC
rnacentral:rRNA from 1 species